CAGAGCUCUGCCGCCUAGAUCGAUUUUUAGAACACUGUUUAUCCACAAUCAUUCACUUUAGUAAUUCCACUAUUCAUCCUAUCUAACAAAGUGGGCUUCAAUUUUUUAUUCACACUUUUGCCUUCAGAUAUCUCUCUAUUCUCAACUCCAGACUGCUCUGCAUGCUCAGCACAAAAAUAUCAGUCCGGAAGCUGGAAGUCCAUAGGUUUUAUCUCCCCCGAUUUGCUCGAUGAUGUCUCCCCCGAUCUGAUAAUUUGAAUAUGCAGCAAUUGAUGCACCUGGAGGAUUCCUCUUUCAAUGGUGCUCUGUCUUUGCAUCUGAGUAUAUUUGUACCGUAAAAAAGUUAAGGUCUGGGUCUUCCGAUUCCGGCGAGCUGUUUCCGUAAGAACGUCGGCGCACCGUGUACCGCGCCGUCAACCACAGUCCUCCCUGUUUUAUUUCCGAAUGGGAGGUCGGAGCUUUAGGAGUGUGAAGAAGAGUAUACAGAGAUUGGAGGAAGCAGCUGUUUCCUGUAGGGGACUCGAAAGACUUGAGAUACUGAGAAGGUGGGUGCUGCUGCUUAACCCGAAAGACUCUAGAUACUGAGAAGGUGGGUGCUGCUGCUUAAAGAGGUGGAGAGGCUGAAGCUUUCUCAGGGUUAUGUGGAAGAGAAUGAAAGUGCGCCGAAACAACCUGUUUGCUGCCGAUGGCACGAAUGAGAUUCGAAAAAGAAUAUCUCUGUGAACCAAUGGAUUUCCGCGAAGUUUUUCUUCAAAAUCAGGCUUUGGAGGGCAUAACACUAUCUAUGGCAUUGCCACACAUGCACUUGGUUUGUGAGGUAUAUGGAGUUUUGCGUUGGUGGAUUCGAGAGCAUAGAGCUUUCAGUGCUUCUUUGCAACUACGAGGUCAUCUGAAAACUUAACAAGGAAUGGAGAAACAAGGGCCAUGCCACUGAUGUUCUUUCGCUGUCGCAGCAUGUCCCUAAUCUUAAGCUUCCCAUUAUACUAGCUCAUUACUUUUUUAGUUUUUUGGUUCCGUUUCUUUUUGCAUAAUUUUAAUCACUGAACAUUUGUAUUAUAUGCAGCUUAUGUUGGGUGACAUUGUGAUUUCUGUUGAGACAGCGACAAGGCAAGCAGAGGAAAGAGGCCACAAGCUUAUUGAUGAGAUACGUGUUCUCAUGAUACAUGAGUUGUUCAUUUACUAGGAUUUGAUCAUGAGAUUAGUGAAGAGGCCGAAGUGGAAAUGGAGAAGGAGGAGCUUCUUUUAAAGAGUCUUGGGUGGAAGGGGAAAUGAUUAAUUCAAAGUGCACAUGAUGCCGAAACUCACAAAUUCCCAUGAGGGAAAACCAGAUGGCAGGAAGAGAGAAAGCAGCCUGUGAUUUUAUAAACUAAAGUUCAGAUGCAUUUUCUGUGGUAUGGAUGGAAUUCUCACGUUGCUUUGAUAAAAUUAUACAUGGCCAUGAUAAGGAUCUACAGUUCCAAUGCUUUUGAUGCAUAAAGUAAGGAGGAAGCUACUCCUCUGGAGCUUCUUUGGCAUGAGAGAGAAAGUGGCAGCAGCCGCAGUGGGGAAGGAAGAAGGACUAUUACUGUUUCUGUGAUCAUUUCUGUCCUUCGAAGCUCUAGGGUUUGUUUUUGGAUCGGUUAGCUGUUGAGGUAAUUACUAAUCUAUACUUCGAUUGUAAUUUUUUUUUUUCAGUAUUCGGUGUGUUUGAUCAAUGGGUUACUUUGGACUUGCAUAAUUUGUGUAUAAUAUUGCUUCAAUCAUUUGUUGGGUUCCCUUUGCGUCCACCAUCUUUGCAAACGCUGCUUGAAGACAUACCUGAUGCAGUAGCUGUUCCUCAUACUUCUUCAUCUGGGAGAGAGAGGUGUGGGGUGUCCGAGAGAGAGGGUUUGACGGAUUAGGUUUGGGGUUAAGUUUUUGCAAUUUGCAGAGAGAUGGGGGGUGCCCAAGAGAUGAUUUAGGAGAUUUGGUUUGGGGUUUGUAGAGAGAGAGAGAGAGAUAGGGCGUGUCGAAGAGAAAUGUGGGAGGAUUUAGGCGAGGGAUUUCAGGGAUUUGAUUUAGGCGAGGGAUUUCAGGGAUUUGAUUUAGGCUUUCCUUUCUGCCACUUGCAGAGACAGAAAGAUGGGACAACGGUGAGAGAGAUAUGGGGACGGAGAGAGUCGAAGUGAACUCUUUUGCCCCAUUCGAUCCAAAUCAAAAAACGGGAUUAGGGGCGUUUUGGUCAUUCAGCAACCUGGGGGGUUCAAUGUCGUCGAGGUUUUUCUGGGAUUUCCGUCCCUUGCAGAGAGAGAGGUGGGAGAAGUAUGGGUGGCGUCGAGGGUUUUCUGGAUUUCUGUUCCUUGCACAUUGAGAGAGGUGGGAGAAGUAUGGGUUGCGUCCAGGGUUUUGUGGGAUUUUGUCUGUUGUAGAGAGAGGGAGGUGGGAGAAGUAUUGGUGCUGUUCCCAAGGUCCACCUCUUUCUUUCUCCUCUUUCCCCCUCCUCUCUUAAUUCUGAUUUAUAUUCUGAUUUGUGAAGGAGCCCGUGCUUUUCCUCAAACGGAUGUCGUCUUACUUGAUGAACGGCGGUACGUCCGAAGUCCACCCUUUGUUGUCGUUGGACCAUGAGGUGGAGCUGGCGGUGAUCAUCUAUUAGAAAGCUCGCGAUGUUCCGUAAUCCACCACCAUGUAUUAUGCCGCCAGUAUAUUUGUAAUUUUUGUUACUGUUUUUUUGUUAAUUAUUCAGUUUUUUUUUCAAGGUCAGUUAAUUAAUCAGUUAAUAGUGCUGCUGUUAAUGAUUUAGUUUAAUUAAUCAGUUAAUAAUGCUGCUGCUAAUGAUUUAAUUUUAAUAUAAUGAUGCUGUUAAUGAUUUGGUUUUGACUUUAAAUUUGAUUGGUGAAAAUUGGAUGGUUUAAGGCUAUGCACUUGCUUUGGAUAUGACUGCCAGAGAAAUUCAAGCUUCUGCUAAGAUUGCUAGGGGGCUGCACUCUGUGAGGGUCAUGUAUGUUUUAUUACGGUCAUAUCUAUAGUUUUGGGAACUGGAGAAAAUAAGUGGAACAAACCAUUUGCACGGCAGAGGCCGACUUGAUUUUUUCUCGAAUUUGUAGUGCACCAAAAUGGUUGAAUAUAUAUGUGAAGGGGAUGAGAGAAGGCAGAUAGGCAAAUGUUGUAUCAGAGAUGAUUCCUUUACAGAGUUUGGUGCUUACAUUUGUAGUUUUAAGAUCGGUUUGGAUGUUUCAUAACAUUGAAGGAUCCCCUAUUCCAAGAAUUGUUGUUGCAUU